AUUGAACGCUAGCGGCAUGCCUUACACAUGCAAGUCGACCGAGCCGCGGAAGUGUUAUUAAUGUCUGUGAACCUUCCUGAUGGAGAGGUAUAACUACUGGAAACGGUAGCUGCUACCGCAUACAGUCGGCUGUGCCCAGAUUGGAUUAGCUAGUAGUUGGGGUAACGGCUCACCAAGACCACGAGCCCUAGCUGGUCGCAGAGGAUGACCAUCCAUACUGGAACUGAGACACGGUCCAGACGCCUACGGGAGGCAGCAGUGGGGAAUAUUGCACAAUGGGCGAAAGCCUGAUGCAGCCAUGCCGCGUGUACGAAGAAGGCCUUCGGGUUGUAAAGCACUUUUGGCAGGGAGGCGUUACCCGCAGAAGAAGCACGGGCUAACUACGUGCCAGCAGCCGCGGUAAUAC
rnacentral:rRNA from 1 species